GUCUGGAUUUGCCCCUGACCCCACCCAGUAUUUAAAUUAAAUUAUGCGUCAGAUAUAUAAAAGGAUACAUGUAAAGGUCGGCUUCUUUCUGUAAUAUUUUGCCGUCUCUGUUCUUCCAAGUAGUAUUGCUUAAUAAAUGUAACUGAAAUCUGCAUGGAAUCUGUGUACUAUCAAAACUAGCAGCUCCAUUUAAUCAUUCAAUCCAAUCCUUAAAGUAUCAAAAAAUCCACAAAGAAUCAAUUGUUCUAGACGUUUUAAAGCAAUAAAUUCAAUAGAAAUAUUGUUGCCUGUUUAUACAGAAC
rnacentral:lncRNA from 1 species